GACGAACGCUGGCGGCGUGCUUAACACAUGCAAGUCGAACGGAAAGGCCCUGCUUUUGUGGGGUGCUCGAGUGGCGAACGGGUGAGUAACACGUGAGUAACCUGCCCUUGACUUUGGGAUAACUUCAGGAAACUGGGGCUAAUACCGGAUAGGAGCUCCUGCGGCAUGGUGGGGGUUGGAAAGUUUCGGCGGUUGGGGAUGGACUCGCGGCUUAUCAGCUUGUUGGUGGGGUAGUGGCUUACCAAGGCUUUGACGGGUAGCCGGCCUGAGAGGGUGACCGGCCACAUUGGGACUGAGAUACGGCCCAGACUCCUACGGGAGGCAGCAGUGGGGAAUAUUGCACAAUGGGCUGAAGCCUGAUGCAGCAACGCCGCGUGCGGGAUGACGGCCUUCGGGUUGUAAACCGCUUUCGCCUGUGACGAAGCGUGAGUGACGGUAAUGGGUAAAGAAGCACCGGCUAACUACGUG
rnacentral:rRNA from 1 species